rnacentral:rRNA from 1 species
GACGAACGCUGGCGGUGUGCUUAACACAUGCAAGUGGUGCGACGAACCAGGCUUCGGCCUGGGGCAAAGCCGCGAACGGGUGAGUAACACGUGGGUAAUCUGCCCCGAUGACCGGGACAACCCGAGGAAACUCGGGCUAAUACCGGAUGUGGUGCCUGGACAUAAGUCCGGUCACUAAAGGUAGCUUCGGCUUCCGCAUUGGGAGGGGCCCGCGGCCCAUUAGCUUGUUGGUGGGGUCAAGGCCUACCAAGGCAACGAUGGGUAGCUGGUCUGAGAGGACGAUCAGCCACACUGGGACUGCGACACGGCCCAGACUCCUACGGGAGGCAGCAGUGGGGAAUCUUGCGCAAUGCGCGAAAGCGUGACGCAGCAACACCGCGUGAGGGAAGACGGCCUUAGGGUUGUAAACCUCUUUCAGAUGGGACGAAGGUUGUCUGGUGAAUAGCCGAGAUGAUUGACGGUACCGUCAGAAGAAGCUCCGGCUAACUACGUGCCAGCCGCCGCAGUAAGAC